UGCGGAAGGAUCAUUACCAAACAAAUCUGCAGCAUGGUUAGCCCAGCUGUGGUGUUUAAACCAAUUGUGAACUAAAAAACCUUUGCUUCGGUAGCAGGUUGGUUUUUGGCCUAAAAACCAGAGCCAGCUGUCAGCCUGCCGGCAGCGCCUAAAUAUAAACUUGUUUUUAAAACUAGUCUGAAAACCAUAUUUUCGAAUGAAAAUUAAAACUUUCAACAACGGAUCUCUUGGUUCUCGCAUCGAUGAAGAACGCAGCGAAACGCGAUAGUUAAUGUGAAUUGCAGAAUUCAGUGAAUCAUCGAGUCUUUGAACGCACAUUGCGCCCAUUGGUAUUCCGAUGGGCAUGUCUGUUUGAGCGUCAUUACAACUCUCUGCACCAGUUAAUUUUGGUCAGGUCUUGAGCUCGGUGACUUAGCCAGCUUUAAAUUUGAACGCUCUGCGGGUUGCUUUUUACCUGACCGAACAUAGUAAAUUUUGAAUUGUUCUACUUGGUAUUUUGUGGACUCAGCCUGAAUAAUACAAACUUUUUUUUUAGGUUUGACCUCAGAUCAGACAAGGAUACCCGCUGAACUUAAGCAUAUCAAUAAGCGGAGGAAAAGAAACCAACAGGGAUUGCCUCAGUAACGGCGAGUGAAGCGGCAACAGCUCAAAUUUGAAAUCUGGAGUUUUUGACUUCCGAAUUGUAAUUUGAAGAGGAUGCUUCGGUUGUAGCUUGGGCCUAAGUUCCUUGGAACAGGACGUCGUAGAGGGUGAGAAUCCCGUUCACGGCUACCGGCUUUCAAUCAUGUGUAGCUCCUUCGAAGAGUCGAGUUGUUUGGGAAUGCAGCUCAAAAUGGGUGGUAAAUUUCAUCUAAAGCUAAAUAUUGGCGAGAGACCGAUAGCGCACAAGUAGAGUGAUCGAAAGAUGAAAAGCACUUUGAAAAGAGAGUUAAACAGUACGUGAAAUUGUUGAAAGGGAAGCGUUUGCAAUCAGACUUGCUUUCAGUUGAUCAACGUUCCUUUUGGUUCGUGCACUCUGCUGUCUGCAGGCCAGCAUCGGUUAGAGCGGUGGGACAAAGACUCCAGGAAUGUGGCUCCUCUCGGGGAGUGUUAUAGCCUGGUGUGUAAUGCCACCUGUUCUGACCGAGGUCCGCGCUUCUGCUAGGAUGCUGGCAUAAUGAUUGUAAACGACCCGUCUUGAAACACGGACCAAGGAGUCUAACAUCUAUGCGAGUGUUUGGGUGUUAAACCCAUUCGCGAAAUGAAAGUGAACGGAGGUGGGAGUCUUCGGAUGCACCAUCGACCGAUCCUGAUGUCUUCGGAUGGAUUUGAGUAUGAGCAUAGCUGUUGGGACCCGAAAGAUGGUGAACUAUGCCUGAAUAGGGUGAAGCCAGAGGAAACUCUGGUGGAGGCUCGCAGCGGUUCUGACGUGCAAAUCGAUCGUCAAAUUUGGGUAUAGGGGCGA
rnacentral:rRNA from 1 species